rnacentral:rRNA from 1 species
GAUGAACGCUGGCGGCGUGCCUAAUACAUGCAAGUCGAGCGAAUGGAUUAAGAGCUUGCUCUUAUGAAGUUAGCGGCGGACGGGUGAGUAACACGUGGGUAACCUGCCCAUAAGACUGGGAUAACUCCGGGAAACCGGGGCUAAUACCGGAUAACAUUUUGAACCGCAUGGUUCGAAAUUGAAAGGCGGCUUCGGCUGUCACUUAUGGAUGGACCCGCGUCGCAUUAGCUAGUUGGUGAGGUAACGGCUCACCAAGGCAACGAUGCGUAGCCGACCUGGGAGGGUGAUCGGCCACACUGGGAAUGAGACACGGCCCAGACUCCUACGGGAGGAAGCAGUAGGGAAUCUUCCGCAAUGGACGAAAGUCUGACGGAGCAACGCCGCGUGAGUGAUGAAGGCUUUCGGGUCGUAAAACUCUGUUGUUAGGGAAGAACAAGUGCUAGUUGAAUAAGCUGGCACCUUGACAGUACCUAACCAGAAAGCCACGGCUAACUACGUGCCAGCAGCCGCGGUAA